GAACCCAGAGAUGGGUCCGCCCAACCCUGGAGAAGACACUUAGUGUCCUCCAGCUAGAUUAUGUGGAUCUUUACAUCAUUGAAAUACCCAUGGCUUUCAAGCCUGGAGAUGAAAUCUACCCUAAAGAUGAGAAUGGCAAAUGGUUAUAUCACAAGUCAAAUCUGUGUGCCACUUGGGAGGCUUUGGAAGCUUGCAAAGAUGCUGGCUUGGUGAAAUCCCUUGGAGUUUCCAAUUUUAACCGCAGGCAGCUGGAGCUCAUCUUGAACAAACCAGGACUCAAACAUAAGCCAGUCAGCAACCAGGUACAGU